AUUGAACGCUGGCGGCAGGCCCUACACAUGCAAGUCGAGCGGAUGAAGGGAGCUUGCUCCUGGAUUCAGCGGCGGACGGGUGAGUAAUGCCUAGGAAUCUGCCUGGUAGUGGGGGAUAACGUCCGGAAACGGGCGCUAAUACCGCAUACGUCCUGAGGGAGAAAGUGGGGGAUCUUCGGACCUCACGCUAUCAGAUGAGCCUAGGUCGGAUUAGCUAGUUGGUGUGGUAAAGGCCUACCAAGGCGACGAUCCGUAACUGGUCUGAGAGGAUGAUCAGUCACACUGGAACUGAGACACGGUCCAGACUCCUACGGGAGGCAGCAGUGGGGAAUAUUGGACAAUGGGCGAAAGCCUGAUCCAGCCAUGCCGCGUGUGUGAAGAAGGUCUUCGGAUUGUAAAGCACUUUAAGUUGGGAGGAAGGGCAGUAAGUUAAUACCUUGCUGUUUUGACGUUACCAACAGAAUAAGCACCGGCUAACUUCGUG
rnacentral:rRNA from 1 species